rnacentral:lncRNA from 1 species
AUCCACUAGUGUAAAUAUUUUAAAUUGAAGAUCGAAUUCAAUCAUUGUAUUCAUAUAAGGUCAAGGAGUGUAAUUGUAACAAAUCAUCAAAAUCGGAGUUAAAUUAACCGUUAAAUCGUGAUUUUUCGUUUAUAACCGUCGAAAAGUUUUGUCCCGUUACUUGCUCUUUGAAUGUUUGUUUUUUGCAAUUUUUGGCGUAUGCGAUCUCGAAAUAUAUAAAAACAUGUUUGAC